UGAUGGAAAGAUGAAAAGAACUUUGAAAAGAGAGUGAAAAAGUACGUGAAAUU
rnacentral:rRNA from 1 species